UACGUAGGGUGCAAGCGUUGUCCGGAAUUAUUGGGCGUAAAGAGCUCGUAGGCGGUCUGUCGCGUCGGCUGUGAAAACCUGGGGCUUAACUCCGGGCCUGCAGCCGAUACGGGCAGACUAGAGUUCGGCAGGGGAGACUGGAAUUCCUGGUGUAGCGGUGAAAUGCGCAGAUAUCAGGAGGAACACCGGUGGCGAAGGCGGGUCUCUGGGCCGAAACUGACGCUGAGGAGCGAAAGCGUGGGGAGCGAACAGG
rnacentral:rRNA from 1 species